AUUGAACGCUGGCGGCAGGCUUAACACAUGCAAGUCGAGCGGAGAUGAGGUGCUUGCACCUUAUCUUAGCGGCGGACGGGUGAGUAAUGCUUAGGAAUCUGCCUAUUAGUGGGGGACAACAUUCCGAAAGGAAUGCUAAUACCGCAUACGUCCUACGGGAGAAAGCCGGGGAUCUUCGGACCUUGCGCUAAUAGAUGAGCCUAAGGCGGAUUAGCUAGUUGGUGGGGUAAAGGCCUACCAAGGCGACGAUCUGUAGCGGGUCUGAGAGGAUGAUCCGCCACACUGGGACUGAGACACGGCCCAGACUCCUACGGGAGGCAGCAGUGGGGAAUAUUGGACAAUGGGGGGAACCCUGAUCCAGCCAUGCCGCGUGUGUGAAGAAGGCCUUAUGGUUGUAAAGCACUUUAAGCGAGGAGGAGGCUACUGAGACUAAUACCCUUGGAUAGUGGACGUUACUCGCAGAAUAAGCACCGGCUAACUCUGUGCCAGCCGCCGCGGUAAGAC
rnacentral:rRNA from 1 species